UACAACUUUUCAACAACGGAUCUCUUGGUUCUGGCAUCGAUGAAGAACGCAGCGAAAUGCGAUAAGUAGUGUGAAUUGCAGAAUUCAGUGAAUCAUCGAAUCUUUGAACGCACAUUGCGCCCCUUGGUAUUCCAUGGGGCAUGCCUGUUCGAGCGUCAUU
rnacentral:rRNA from 1 species